rnacentral:lncRNA from 1 species
AUCAUCUGUAGGCCAGCCUGGUCUACAGAGCAAAUUCCAGGUCAGCCAGGGCUGCACAGAGAAACCCUGUCUUGAAAAACAAACAAACAAGCCUGGCGUUGGUGGCGCACGCCUAUAAUCCUAGCACUCGGUAGGCAGAGGCAGGCGGAUCUCUGUGAGUUCGAGGCCAGCCUGGUCUCCAGAGCAAGUGCCAGGACAGGCCCCAAAGCUACACAGAGAAACCCUGUCUCGAAAAACCAAAAAGAAAUUGCCAAAGAAUAAGUAAUAGUCUAAAAUAAAUUUAUUUAUGGAGUGAAACCUUGUCUCAAAAAGCCAAAACCAAACGAACAGAAAGAGAGACCAGUGUGGCUGGAGUGAGGGGGGUGGGUGGAAUUGGCUACAGAAGGCCAAGGCUGCGGAGGCCCCACUGUGUGGGACACCUCCAAACAGAGAGUGGGAGCGCCCAGAAGUGGGAACUGAUGCCCUCUUGUGGACAUACGGGGAAUAGUUCAACCAGGAGAGCCCAGAGUUAGGGGAGUCUGCUCAAUUUCAGAUGGGUGAUGCGUCCGGUGGAGCACGGUAGUGGCCGCUGUGGGAGGUGACAGGAACCAGGUGUGAAGUUCUUUUGACAUCAGGAAAACGUGGCGUGUGGUAGCCUGAGUAUGAGAUCCAGGUCAAGUGGGCGGAGACAAAGUGGGGACCAGAUGGACAAGGAGGAAACCAGAGGCAUCUGCGUGUGGUUUUUGCUUUCGUUUCCUGAAGUCAUAACAAAAACCAAAGGACAGCAUUCACACCAGUGACUCGCACAGGGGUGGAACGCAGGCGCCCUUGGCAGCGGUGGGGCAAGCCAAGGGACACCGUGGCCCCAGAUAAACCUCUUUUCCUGUGCUUCCGUGAGUCACCUACACCCCCACGGCAACCAGGUAAGGCAGGCACCAUAGGUGAUGGAAGCUGUCUUCCAUCACCUUCUAGUACAAUCAAGAAGGCAAAUGCACCAAU